UGACAAUGAGGAUGGCCGAUAAGCUCGUUCGGGUGGCAAGGACAUCUAGGAUAAGAUACGAUGCAUCAGAUAGAUGCCAAGACGAAUGGACCGUUCUCGGCCUGCUCCUGAUUUAUUUCAUCGAUGUUCAAGAUAGGAAAGCGUAUCGUCCUUCUUAUAUUUUAUACUCUUUGAAAAAAAACGUUAUUUUGUCAAGACGAAGUUUGCUUCUUGGAUCCAUGAUGAAUUUUUAUAAGGAUGUUAAUAUUUUAAUAUUGCACUAAAUGCUUUUAAUAGCAAAUUUUUUGUUUCUAUAUCGAACGAAGUUGAAUGUUGAUGGAAGAGAAAAUUAUUGCAGGUCGUUGCAAGCACACUAGUUAAUUCGAAUCCUUCGUAUCCAGGUAAGCGUGAUGGUAACCGCUCUUGUUUAUUAUUUCAUUAGAAAGCUAAUGCGACGCAACCCGUUGAGAUAGAUUAAUGGGUAUUUUAAUUAUUAAUCCAUGGUAAUGUAAAGCUGCUUUCAGAAGCACCUUAUUAUUUAUUAAACUGUUCAUAUAUACAUACAUCCUUCAUCUUUCUUAUUGUCUGAUAAUAACAUAUGUAGAACGCUUGGAAUUGUUAUAUAUUAUAAAUGAUUUCUAGGUGGAUUCUUUAUUGUUAUCUGUAUUUUCAAAAAUAAACAAAAGAUUUUUUAUAUUUAAUAUCUA